rnacentral:rRNA from 1 species
AUGCCCCCCCCCAUCCUGACGAGCACGUGGUCCAGUGUCCGAUCCGGCCUGCCGCCAUCCAUGGCCGCCUCCCUCUUCCGCCUCUCCCGGCCCCGCCGCGUGCUCCUCCCCUUGUCCGCCCUCCGCCUCCCUCUCUCCACCCAGCCCCUCCCGCAGCCCCGGGACCCGUCCUCCCCCAAUUCCAACCGCGGCCUUCCUGCUUUCCUCUCCUUCCUCGCCGCCGCAGCCGCAGGCGGAAUCACCAGUUCCGUCGCUCUCUGCGAUGCCGGCCCCGACCACCGGGUCGGCGGGAAAGACAGCACCGAGCUGGUGGUGCGUGGGGAGCGCAAGUGCGUGCCACAGCAGUUCAUAGAAGAGCUCGCAUCCUUCCUCGGGGAGAACCUGACGGUGGAUUACGAGGAGAGGAGCUUCCACGGGACGCCGCAGAAUAGCUUCCACAAGGCAGUCAACGUGCCCGACGUCGUCGUCUUCCCAAAGUCCCAGUAUGAGGUACGGAAUAUUGUGAUGACUUGUAAUAAGUACAAGGUGCCGAUUGUACCAUAUGGUGGGGCUACAUCAAUUGAGGGACAUACGUUGGCACCUCAUGGUGGUGUUUGCAUUGACAUGUCUUCAAUGAAGAAAAUCAAAUCUCUGCAUGUUGAGGAUAUGGAUGUUGUAGUUGAACCAGGAGUUGGAUGGAUUGAGCUGAAUGAAUACCUGAAACCCCAUGGUCUCUUUUUCCCUCUUGACCCAGUCCUGGGUUCGACGCAGCCUCUCUGCAUUGCUCUGUGCAGGGGUAAGGCUUGCCUCGUAUCCUUCCCCAGAGCCCCACCUGGACCUGGAGCCACUAUUGGUGGAAUGUGCGCUACACGAUGUUCUGGUUCAUUAGCCGUGAGGUAUGGAACUAUGCGGGACAAUGUUAUCAAUCUUCAGGCUGUUCUACCAGAUGGUGACGUUGUCAAGACCGGUUCUCGGGCUCGAAAGAGUGCAGCUGGAUAUGACCUAACUCGGUUGAUCAUUGGAAGUGAAGGGACUUUAGGGGUAAUUACAGAAGUGACUUUACGACUUCAAAAGCUUCCAUCUCAUUCCGUGGUUGCUAUGUGCAAUUUUCAAACAGUUAAGGAUGCUGCUGAUGUUGCUAUUGCAACAAUGCAUUCUGGCAUACAGGUCUCGAGAGUGGAAUUGUUAGAUGAGGUUCAGAUAAGGGCAAUAAACAUGGCAAACGGUAAAAGCUUGCCUGAAGUGCCGACCUUGAUGUUUGAAUUCAUAGGGACAGAAGCAUAUGCACUUGAACAAACACUGUUGGUUCAAAAGAUUGCUGCAGAGCACCAUGGUUCUGAUUUUGUUUUUGUGGAGGAGCCAAAUGCUAAAGAGGAACUGUGGAAGAUCAGGAAGGAGGCACUUUGGGCUGGUUUUGCCAUGAAACCUGAUCAUGAAGCUAUGAUAACGGACGUUUGUGUUCCAUUGUCUAGACUUGCAGAAUGCAUAUCUGUAUCUAAGCAACUACUUGAUGCGUCACCAUUGACUUGUUUGGUUAUCGCCCAUGCCGGUGACGGAAAUUUCCACACAAUUAUCCUAUUUGAUCCAACCCAGGAGGAAGAGCGAAGGGAAGCAGAGAGACUAAACCAUUUCAUGGUUCAUACUGCUCUGUCCAUGGAAGGUACAUGCACAGGAGAGCAUGGUGUUGGCACAGGGAAAAUGAAGUACCUGGAGAAGGAGCUGGGGAUGGAGUCACUGAGGACGAUGAAAAGGAUAAAGGCCGCGCUGGAUCCCAACAACAUCAUGAAUCCAGGAAAGCUCAUCCCACCCCACGUCUGCAUCUGA